rnacentral:lncRNA from 1 species
GUUCUAUCCAAAACCAAACAGGCUAACCCAAGAGACAGCUUCAUUGCACCCUUGAGUCGCCCAAGGGACGAAGAUUAGCUCUGUAAGUCUACCUGUAUUAAAAUCCUUCUAUUUUCUAUCUUUUUAUCAAAUAUCUCAAACUAUACUUGCAACAGUCCUUCUAACUUGCAUUGGAAAAUCGUUAAAUUUAGAUAUGCAUACUAACUGCAACACUGUGACAAUGGCAAACAACACACAUGUACAGCUCAACAGUGAAGCUCGAGAUCGAUCUUGGUCAGUAACUUUGUCACCUCAAGAACC